rnacentral:rRNA from 1 species
UGGGGAAUAUUGGACAAUGGGGGCAACCCUGAUCCAGCCAUGCCGCGUGAGUGAUGAAGGCCUUCGGGUUGUAAAGCUCUUUUGGCGGGGACGAUGAUGACGGUACCCGCAGAAUAAGCCCCGGCUAACUUCGUGCCAGCAGCCGCGGUAAGACGAAGGGGGCUAGCGUUGUUCGGAAUUACUGGGCGUAAAGCGAGUGUAGGCGGUUGCCGUAGUCAGGUGUGAAAGCCUUGAGCUCAACUCAAGAAAUGCACUUGAUACUGGGCGACUAGAGGACCGGAGAGGAUAGUGGAAUUCCCAGUGUAGUGGUGAAAUACGUAGAGAUUGGGAAGAACACCAGUGGCGAAGGCGGCUAUCUGGACGGUUACUGACGCUAAGACUCGAAAGCGUGGGGAGCAAACAGGAUUAGAUACCCUGGUAGUCCACGCCGUAAACGAUGGGUGCUAGACGUUGGCGAGCUUGCUCGUCAGUGUCGCAGCUAACGCGUUAA